AUCGGCUUUCCUUUAAGAGAACGGGACGUUCCCAAUUCCUUCGAUCUUCGGCUACCGAUUGCUACGAGUCUCGUCUUCAGGCCGAAUGGUCAUUCCUUCGAUCUUCGGCUGCCGAUUGGAUCGAGUCUCGUCUUCAGCCGAUCUCAAUUAGUUCCAGUUGUAUCUUCGUUCGGCGUUGGAUUUGACUAACGUGUUGGGUUGAUAUAUGGCGGCGGCGAUGAGCAAAAUCGACACGGCCCAUCAGAUGUAUCGCGAGGGGCGGCACGAGCAGGCGCUUGGUCUCUACACUGAAGCCUUGGCGAUGGCUAAGAGCAAGGCCCAGAAGAUCGCUCUCCACAGCAACCGAGCCGCCUGCUACCUCAAGCUGCAUGAAUUCAAGAAGGCUGCGGAAGAAUGUACAUCUGUUCUUGAGUUGGAUCAUCAACACACAGGAGCUUUAAUGUUACGUGCACAAACAUUAGUGACCCUCAAAGAUUACCAAUCAGCACUCUUCGAUGUCAAUCAACUGAUGGAGUUGAACCCGUCAUCAGAGGUGUACCAAAAUUUGCAGGCCAGGUUGAAAACACAACUGUCAUUAGCUCCAAUUCCUGAAUCUGAGGAAGAAGCAUUAUACCAUGAAAAUGACGAAGAAGAUGACCAACAAAAACAGUGGAGAUCUCAUUCAGGAGAUAAUGGGAAGGUUAAGCUUGCUCAGAAAUUUUCUGAAGUGCCUGUAAUUCAACCUGCAAAAGUCCAUGCCUCUUCGAGUGUUUCUCCCAAGCCAGAAGGCCAGCCAACACAAUGGAGAACUCAUUCAGGAGAGAAUGGAAGAGAUAAGCCUGCAAAAUUGCAGGCCUCUGCUAGUGUUUCUCCUAAACCUCAGGGUUGGGAAGCAAUUCCUAAACCAAAAGGGCAUUCAGGUCUUGAUUAUUCACGAUGGGAUCGGGUCAAAGAUGAAUCGAGUGAAGAGGAUGAGGAUGAUGACACAGAGGAGCAGCAACCUCAAUAUAGAUUUCGUGUCAGAACUGUUGGUGCGAGGCCUGUAAAGUGAUCGGUUUUUGAUUAUGUCUUGUGUUAAGAUGCCUGGAAGAUAGUUCAUCUGUAAUUUUUGAAAUGUUUGGUAAUUGACGGUCGCAUGUCCAUAUGGCCCAUGAAUACCGGAAGUACCUAGUUUGGAGCACAUGUUUCUAACUGGAUUUGCAACAGAGGUUGUAGCAUUCGUUAGUUAAUCAAAGGGAUUCAGGGCAUUGCGUUAAUCUCUUGAAACAAGCAUUUGGAGAUUUCUUUGAUUUGACAACAGUUCGACCAGCUGCCAUUGUUCUCCUUUUGGUGGUAAAAGGUCAUAUGCUGAUCCUGGACGUCCCACAAGACCGGUCCCAUGGUCAUUUGUAGAGGUAAAUCACGGAUGAUUUUGCCUUUAAACAGUGAUCAUUGCAUGGGGCGACAUUGUUCUCCUUUGUUUAUAACACCGGGAGAUUCAUGUGCACGAUGAUUAUUGCUGUCUCACAUUUCCUCUCAGUUAUAUUUCGACCAGCAGAUCUGCUUGCCCUCCCUAGUGAAGAAAGGAUAAAUUAUAUUAUGAUGAAAAUCCCGGGUGCCUAUCUUCUUCUAUGUUACAUCACUAGGUAAAAGCUGCUGUUCGGAUAAUCAAUGCUAAUCAUCCUUAAUGUUUCUAGCGUGAUAAAAUGCCUGAAGCCCUUAGCCGCUUUGUAGUCUUGACUAUCACCCAACAUCCUCAGAUAAAAGUACCCUUUUGUGUCGGUAUUUGUAGUUUUUUAUUUAUCUAUUUAUUUAUUUAUGUUCAUAUUAACAAGCAGAAUCUACCAUUUGGCUGAAUUCGUAUUUCUAGAACAUAAUUUGAAGACUGCACCUUACCCAAGUAAUCAAUAUUGGAUUUACCUGA